rnacentral:rRNA from 1 species
GACGUAGGGGGCCAGCGUUGUUCGGAAUUACUGGGCGUAAAGGGUUCGUAGGCGGUGUGGUAAGUCGGGAGUGAAAUCUCUGGGCUCAACCCAGAGUCUGCUUCCGAAACUGCUGUGCUUGAGUGUGGGAGAGGCGCGUGGAAUUGCAGGUGUAGCGGUGAAAUGCGUAGAUAUCUGCAGGAACACCGGUGGCGAAAGCGGCGCGCUGGGCCACUACUGACGCUGAGGAACGAAAGCUAGGGGAGCAAACAGG